GAGUUUGAUCCUGGCUCAGAACGUACGCUGGCGGCGUGCUUAACACAUGCAAGUCAGGGAGAAAGUCUCUUCGGGGAUGAUUAAACCGGCGCACGGGUGAGUAACACGUGAGUGACCUGCCUUUUAGACUGGAACAACUUACCGAAAGGUGAGCUAAUGCCGGAUGAGUUAUAUAAGUGCAUGUUUAUAUAGGAAAAGUUGGGGAGACCUGACGCUGAAAGAUGGACUCGCGUCCCAUUAGCUAGUUGGUAGGGUAAUGGCCUACCAAGGCGACGAUGGGUAGCCGGCCUGAGAGGGUGGCCGGCCACACUGGGACUGAGACACGGCCCAGACUCCUACGGGAGGCAGCAGUGGGGAAUUUUGCGCAAUGCUCGUAAGAGUGACGCAGCGACGCCGCGUGAAUGACGAAGGCCUUCGGGUCGUAAAGUUCUUUCGACAGGGAAGAAAAUGCCUAUAAGUAACUGUGUAUGUAUUGACGGUACCUGUAUAAGCAGCCCCGGCUAACUCCGUGCCAGCAGCCGCGGUAAUACGGAGGGGGCGAGCGUUGUUCGGAGUGACUGGGCGUAAAGAGCACGUAGGCGGUGUUGUAAGUCAUUAGUCAAAGACUAGAGCUCAACUUUAGUAAGGCUAGUGAUACUAUAAUACUAGAGUAUCAGAGAGGAUUGCAGAAUUCCUGGUGUAGCGGUGAAAUGCGUAGAUAUCAGGAGGAAUACCGUUAGCG
rnacentral:rRNA from 1 species